rnacentral:rRNA from 1 species
GAUGAACGCUGGUGGCGUGCCUAACACAUGCAAGUCGAGCGGCAGCGCGGGGUGCUUGCACCCUGUCGGCGAGCGGCGGACGGCUGAGUAACGCGUGGGAACGUGCCCCAAAGUGAGGAAUAACUGCCCGAAAGGGUAGCUAAUACCGCAUAUUAUCUUCGGAUCAAAGGAUUUAUCCGCUUUGGGAGCGGCUCGCGUCGGAUUAGGUAGUUGGUGAGGUAAUGGCUCACCAAGCCGACGAUCCGUAGCUGGUCUGAGAGGAUGACCAGCCAGACUGGAACUGAGACACGGUCCAGACUCCUACGGGAGGCAGCAGUGAGGAAUCUUCCACAAUGGGCGAAAGCCUGAUGGAGCAACGCCGCGUGCAGGACGAAGGCCUUCGGGUUGUAAACUGCUUUUAUAAGUGAGGAAUAUGACGGUAACUUAUGAAUAAGGAUCGGCUAACUACGUG